GCUCUCGUGGUCUAGUAGAAUGAUACGCGCUUUGGGUUUUGCUUUACUUGUGCGGGGUCCCGGGUUCAAAUCCCGGCGAGGGUC